rnacentral:rRNA from 1 species
UACGAAUGGAGCGAGCGUUGUUCGGAAUCACUGGGCGUAAAGGGUGCGCAGGCGGUCAUGAAAGUUAGAAGUGAAAUCCCAGGGCUUAACCCUGGAAUGGCUUUUAAAACUCCAUGACUAGAGUAUUGGAGAGGUUGGCGGAAUUCCGAGUGUAGAGGUGAAAUUCGCAGAUAUUCGGAGGAACACCAAUGGCGUAGGCAGCCAACUGGACAAUUACUGACGCUCAUGCACGAAAGCGUGGGGAUCAAACAGG